rnacentral:rRNA from 1 species
CCUACGGGCGGCAGCAGUGAGGAAUAGUGGUCAAUGGGCGCGAGCCUGAACCAGCCAAGUAGCGUGAAGGAUGACUGCCCUACGGGUUGUAAACUUCUGUUAUAAAGGAAUAAAGUGAGGCACGUGUGCCUUUGUGUAUGUACGUUAUGAAUAAGGAUCGGCUAACUCCGUGCCAGCAGCCGCGGUAAUACGGAGGAGCCGAGCUUUAUCCGGAUUUAGUGGGGUUAAAGGGAGCGUAGAGGGGUUGUUAAGUCAGUUGUGAAAGUUUGCGGCUCAACCGUAAAAUUGCAAUUGAUACUGGCAGUCUUGAGUACAGUUGCGGUAGUCGGAUUUCGUGGUGUAGCGG